GGGGUUGUGGCUCAGCGGUAGAGUGCUCGCCUAGCAUGUGUAAGGCCCUGGGUUCGAUCCUCAGCACUACUA
rnacentral:tRNA from 1 species